UGCAAGUCGAGCGGCAGCACAAGUGAGUUUACUCCUGAGGUGGCGAGCGGCGGACGGGUGAGUAAUGCCUAGGGAUCUGCCCGGUCGAGGGGGAUAACAGUUGGAAACGACUGCUAAUACCGCAUACGCCCUACGGGGGAAAGGAGGGGACCUUUUGGCCUUCCGCGAUUGGAUGAACCUAGGUGGGAUUAGCUAGUUGGUGAGGUAAUGGCUCACCAAGGCGACGAUCCCUAGCUGUUCUGAGAGGAUGAUCAGCCACACUGGGACUGAGACACGGCCCAGACUCCUACGGGAGGCAGCAGUGGGGAAUAUUGCACAAUGGGGGAAACCCUGAUGCAGCCAUGCCGCGUGUGUGAAGAAGGCCUUCGGGUUGUAAAGCACUUUCAGUAGGGAGGAAAGGUUGAAAGUUAAUACCUGGCAGCUGUGACGUUACCUACAGAAGAAGGACCGGCUAACUCCGUGCCAGCAGCCGCGGUAAUACGGAGGGUCCAAGCGUUAAUCGGAAUUACUGGGCGUAAAGCGUGCGCAGGCGGUUUGUUAAGCGAGAUGUGAAAGCCCCGGGCUCAACCUGGGAAUUG
rnacentral:rRNA from 1 species